rnacentral:rRNA from 1 species
UACGUAGGGUGCAAGCAUUGUCCGGAAUUAUUGGGCGUAAAGAGCUCGUAGGCGGUUUGUUGCGCCUGCUGUGAAAACCUGGGGCUUAACUUCGGGAUUGCAGUGGGUACGGGCAGACUAGAGUGUGGUAGGGGUAAUUGGAAUUCCUGGUGUAGCGGUGGAAUGCGCAGAUAUCAGGAGGAACACCGAUGGCGAAGGCAGGUUACUGGGCCACCACUGACGCUGAGGAGCGAAAGCGCGGGUAGCGAACAGGAUUAGAUACCCGCGUA